rnacentral:rRNA from 1 species
GACAGAGGAUGCAAGCGUUAUCCGGAAUGAUUGGGCGUAAAGCGUCUGUAGGUGGCUUAAAAAGUCUCCUGUCAAAGAUCAGGCUUAACCCUGGGCCGGCAGGAGAAACUCUUAGGCUAGAGUUGGUAGGGGCAGAGGGAAUUCCCGGUGGAGCGGUGAAAUGCGUAGAGAUCGGAAAGAACACCAACGGCGAAAGCACUCUGCUGGGCCGACACUGACACUGAGAGACGGAAAGCUAGGGGAGCGAAUGGG